AGUGGCAAAGUGAGGGAGGGAAGGGGUGACUAGUGACAGAGUGAGGGGAUGACUGGUGACAGAGUGAGGGGGGGUGACUGUCACUAGUCACCCCAUCCCUCUCUCUGUCACUAGUCACUCCCUCCCUAACUCUGUCACUGUGUCACCCCCUCCCUCACUCUGUCACUAAUCACCCCCUCUCUCCCUAGUCACCCCCUUCCUCACUCUGUCACU